rnacentral:rRNA from 1 species
GACGAACGCUGGCGGCGUGCUUAACACAUGCAAGUCGAACGGAAAGGCCCCUUUGGGGGUCCUCGAGUGGCGCACGGGUGAGUAACACGUGAGUAACCUGCCCUUGACUUCGGGAUAACUUCAGGAAACUGGGGCUAAUACCGGAUAGGAAUCCUUGCUGCAUGGUGGGGGUUGGAAAGCUUCGGCGGUUUUGGAUGGACUCGCGGCUUAUCAGCUUGUUGGUGGGGUAGUGGCUUACCAAGGCUUUGACGGGUAGCCGGCCUGAGAGGGCGACCGGCCACAUUGGGACUGAGAUACGGCCCAGGCUCCUACGGGAGGCAGCAGUGGGGAAGAUUGCACAAUGGGCGGAAGCCUGAUGCAGCAACGCCGCGGGCGGGAUGACGGCCUUCGGGUUGUAAAACGCUUUCAGCAGGGGCGAAGCUUGUGGUGACGGUACCUGCAGAAGAAGCACCGGCUAACUACGUG